CAUGUCUAAGUACAUUCCGUAAUAAGGUGAAACCGCGAAUGGCUCAUUAAAUCAGUUAUGGUUCCUUAGAUCGUACCUUACUACUUGGAUAACUGUGGUAAUUCUAGAGCUAAUACAUGCAGCAGAGCUCCGACCUUCGGGGACGAGCGCUUUUAUUAGACCAAGAUCAAUCGGGCCUCGUGUCCGUGAAUUGUGGUGAAUCUGUAUAACUUUGAGCUGAUCGCACGGGCUUGUCCCGGCGACGUAUCUUUCAAGUGUCUGCCUUAUCAACUGUCGAUGGUAGGUUAUGUGCCUACCAUGGUCGUAACGGGUAACGGGGAAUCAGGGUUCGAUUCCGGAGAGGGAGCCUGAGAAACGGCUACCACAUCCAAGGAAGGCAGCAGGCGCGCAAAUUACCCACUCCCAGAUCGGGGAGGUAGUGACGAAAAAUAACAAUACGGGACUCUUUUGAGACCCCGUAAUUGGAAUGAGAACACUCUAAAUCCUUUAACGAGGAUCCAUUGGAGGGCAAGUCUGGUGCCAGCAGCUGCGGUAAUUCCAGCUCCAAUAGCGUAUAUUAAAGUUGUUGCGGUUAAAAAGCUCGUAGUUGGAUCUCAGUUCCAGACGGGUGGUCCGCCUACCGGUGGUUACUGCCUGUUCUGAACAGCCAGCCGGUUUCCUUUGAUGAUCUUCACCGGUUGUCUUGGGUGACCGGCAAGUUUACUUUGAAAAAAUUAGAGUGCUCAAAGCAGGCGUGACGCCUGAAUAAUGGUGCAUGGAAUAAUAGAAUAGGACCUCGGUUCUGUUUUGUUGGUCUUUGGAACACGAGGUAAUGAUUAAGAGGGACAGACGGGGGCAUUCGUAUUGCGACGCU
rnacentral:rRNA from 1 species